AUUGAACGCUGGCGGCAGGCCUAAACAUGCAAGUCGAGCGGAUGAAGGGAGCUUGCUCCUGGAUUCAGCGGCGGACGGGUGAGUAAUGCCUAGGAAUCUGCCUGGUAGUGGGGGAUAACGUCCGGAAACGGGCGCUAAUACCGCAUACGUCCUGAGGGAGAAAGUGGGGGAUCUUCGGACCUCACGCUAUCAGAUGAGCCUAGGUCGGAUUAGCUAGUUGGUGGGGUAAAGGCCUACCAAGGCGACGAUCCGUAACUGGUCUGAGAGGAUGAUCAGUCACACUGGAACUGAGACACGGUCCAGACUCCUACGGGAGGCAGCAGUGGGGAAUAUUGGACAAUGGGCGAAAGCCUGAUCCAGCCAUGCCGCGUGUGUGAAGAAGGUCUUCGGAUUGUAAAGCACUUUAAGUUGGGAGGAAGGGCAGUAAGUUAAUACCUUGCUGUUUUGACGUUACCAACAGAAUAAGCACCGGCUAACUUCGUG
rnacentral:rRNA from 1 species